rnacentral:rRNA from 1 species
AGAGUUUGAUCAUGGCUCAGAAUCAACGCUGGCGGCGCGCUUAACACAUGCAAGUCGGACGAGAAAGUGGAGCAAUCCAUGAGUAAAGUGGCGUACGGGUGAGUAACACGUGGGUAAUCUACCUUUUGGUGGGGAAUAACCCUGGGAAACCGGGGCUAAUACCGCAUAAGCCUGGGAAGGGAAAGCAGCAAUGCGCUGGGAGAGGAGCCCGCGGCCGAUUAGCUAGUUGGUGAGGUAAGAGCUCACCAAGGCAACGAUCGGUAGCCGGCCUGAGAGGGCACACGGCCACACUGGCACUGAAACACGGGCCAGACUCCUACGGGAGGCAGCAGUGGGGAAUCUUGCACAAUGGGGGCAACCCUGAUGCAGCGACGCCGCGUGAGCGAUGAAGCCCUUCGGGGUGUAAAGCUCUUUCGGCAGGGACGAUAAUGACGGUACCUGCAGAAGCAGCUGCGGCUAACUACGUGCCAGCAGCCGCGGUAAUACGUAGGCAGCGAGCGUUGUUCGGAGUUACUGGGCGUAAAGGGUGCGUAGGCGGCCGAUUAAGUUUGUCGUGAAAUCUCCCGGCUUAACUGGGAGGGUGCGGCGAGUACUGACCGGCUAGAGUGUGGGAGAGGAGAGUGGAAUUCCUGGUGUAGCGGUGAAAUGCGUAGAUAUCAGGAGGAACACCGGCGGUGUAGACGGCUCUCUAGACCAUAAC